rnacentral:rRNA from 1 species
UACGUAGGUGGCAAGCGUUAUCCGGAUUUACUGGGUGUAAAGGGCGUGUAGGCGGGUUUGCAAGUUGGAUGUGAAAUCCUCAGGCUUAACCUGAGAGGGUCAUCCAAAACUGCAGAUCUUGAGUACUGGAGAGGAUAGUGGAAUUCCUAGUGUAGCGGUAAAAUGCGUAGAUAUUAGGAGGAACACCAGUGGCGAAGGCGACUAUCUGGACAGUAACUGACGCUGAGGCGCGAAAGCGUGGGGAGCAAACAGGAUUAGAUACCCU